UUGGGCCCGUUUCGAAUUUCAGAAUUUUAAUUAAAUAUAAAUGGACGAAAAUUAAUUAAAAAUUAAAAGUAUUGAUUUUUACAAAAAAAUUCUAACCUAAUGAUUAAUCAUCCCCCACGUGUCAACACCACACCCCUGCCUGGCAUCGUCAUCAUCAUUUUCAUUCCUAUAAAUAGGACUUCUAAAAGCAACAAUCAUGGAACAAAAAAAAGCACUCCUAAAGUCCCCAAGACAAAAUUCAGUCACUAACUCUAAUCUCAAACUCUCCAACCCUCGAUAUCCCCUAAAGUUUUUCAAACUCCAAAAGUCAUUGACAUUCUCAAAGAGCUCUAUUUCAUUCCUCUCUUCAUUCUUCACCAAUGUACUGCCCUACACCUCUCUACCCUUGCCAAAGAACAAAAAGAACGAAAAAAGCAAUAAGUUAGUAGUAGAGUAAGCACAUCAUAAAUAGUUUGGGUUUCACGUACGUAAGUACUUGAGUUUUGAAACCCUGUGUUUUAAAGUUCAACUAUUCUUGUAUACGAGGAACCUAGUUUCAUAGGUUUCCACAUAUCUAAUAACUAUAUAUUUAACUUUUACUUAUCAACCUAGUUUCAUAGGUUUCCACAUAUCUAAUAACUAUAUAUUUAACUUUUAUUUAUCUACGUGUGCUAACACUAACUCUUUACACUACUAAGUAAUGUUCCUAUUUCAUCUUUCACUUCCUAAGCAUUGUAUUCUCAUACAGUCAAUCAUCAUUUAUGUUUAAUAAUUGUAUGUCAAUUAUCAUGUUUAUGUAUUGAGUGAACUUGCGAGCAUUGUAUGGAUCGAAGCACGUGGUUCGAUCGGGUCGUCUAGGGGUGGAUUUCACAAUGGAUAUUAGAGCCUGGUUAUUCUCUAUUGUUUGAUCGAGGUUAUUGGUACUGAGGCGUCAUGAACCUCAAAGUGAUCACUAUUUUUGGGAGCAUAGUGUAGUAACCAAAGUUUUUCAGGGUUUUCAAAUUUUUUGUCAUUUUCGUAGCUCGAUUGUUUCUUCGAAUUUUGGACCUUUUUCAUUAAUUUGAAUACACACUUCUAAACUCUUACCGAAUUGUCUAAAUUAUGAAUUAACGGUCACAAGCAAAGAUGCUAUACCAAACCUAAAUAUUAAGCGUUGGUCAGAUUAACGGGUUGACAUGAUAUUUCAAACUUAAAAGCUAAGUUCUAUAAUUGGACCAGGUGAUAGGGGUUUCGAGCCCACUAAGUGAAUGAGAUUGGGUUCGGCUUGGGCCCGUUUCGAAUUUAAGAAUUUUAAUUAAAUAUAAAUGGACGAAAAUUAAUUAAAAAUUAAAAGUAUUGAUUUUUACAAAAAAAUUCUAACCUAAUGAUUAAUCAUCCCCCACGUGUCAACACCACACCCCUGCCUGGCAUCGUCAUCAUCAUUUUCAUUCCUAUAAAUAGGACUUCUAAAACCACCAAUGCACUCCCCUACACCUCUCUACCCUUGCCAAAAAAUCAAGAGAACAAAAAAAAAGCAAUAAGUUAGUAGUAGAGUAAGCACGUGAUAAAUAGUUUGGGUUUCACGUACAUAAGUACUUGAGUUUUGAAACCCUGUGUUUUAAAGUUCAACUAUUCUUGUAUACGAGGAACCUAGUUUCAUAGGUUUCCACAUAUCUAAUAACUAUAUAUUUAACUUUUACUUAUCUAUGUGUGCUAACACUAACUCUUAACACUACUAAGUAAUGUUCCUAUUUCAUCUUUCACUUCCUAAGCAUUGUAUUCUCAUACAGUCAAUCAUCAUUUAUGUUUAAUAAUUUUAUGUCAGUUAUCAUGUUUAUGUGUUCAGUGAACUUGCGAGCGUUGCAUGGAUCGAACCUCGUGGUUCGAUCGGAUCGUCUAGGGAUGGGUUUCAUAACGGGUAUUAGAGCCUGGUUAUUCUCAACUGUUUGAUCGAAGUUUAUGGUACUGAGGCGUCAUGAACCUCAAAGUGACCACUAUUUUCGGGAGCUUAGUGUAGUAACCAAAGUUUUUCUGGGUUCUCAAAUUUUUUGUCAUUUUCAUAGCUCGAUUUUUUCUUCGAAUUUUUGACCUUUUUCAUUAAUUAGAAUACACACUUCUAAACUCUUACCGAAUUGUCUAAAUUAUGAAUUAAUGGUCACAAGCAAAGAUGCUAUACCGAACCUAGAUAUUAAGCGUUGGUCAGAUUAACGGGUUGACAUGAUAUUUCAAACUCAAAAGCUAAGUUCUAUAAUUGGACCAGAUGAUAGGGGUUUCGAGCCCACUAAGUGUAUGAGAUUGGGGUCGGCUUGGGCCUGUUUCGAAUUUUAGAAUUUUAAUUAAAAAUAAAUGGACGAAAAUUAAUAAAAAAUUAAAAGUAUAUAUUUUUACAAAAAAAUUCUAACCUAAUGAUUAAUCAUCCCCCACGUGUCAACACCACACCCCUACCUUCCAUCGUCAUCAUCAUCAUCAUCAUCUUCAUUCCUAUAAAUAGGACUUCUAAAACCAAUAAUCACGGAACAAAAAAAACACUCCUAAAGUCCCCAACACAAACUUCAGUCACUAACUCUAAUCUCAAACUCUCCAACCCUCGAUAUCCCCUAAAGUUUUUCAAACUCCAAAAGUCAUUGACAUUCUCAAAGAGCUCUCUUUCAUUCCUCUCUUCAUUCUUCACCAAUGCACUGCCCUACACCUCUCUACCCUUGCCAAAGAA
rnacentral:lncRNA from 1 species